rnacentral:rRNA from 1 species
UACGGGGGGGGCAAGCGUUGUUCGGAAUUACUGGGCGUAAAGGGCGCGUAGGUGGCCCGGUCAGUUCGUGGUGAAAGCGCGGGGCUCAACCCUGCGUCGGCCAUGAAUACUGCCGCGGCUGGAGCACUGUAGAGGCAGGCGGAAUUCCGGGUGUAGCGGUGGAAUGCGUAGAGAUCCGGAAGAACACCGGUGGCGAAGGCGGCCUGCUGGGCAGUUGCUGACACUGAGGCGCGACAGCGUGGGGAGCAACAGG